rnacentral:rRNA from 1 species
GAUCAUGGCUCAGGACGAACGCUGGCGGCGUGCAUAAUACAUGCAAGUAGAACGCUGAAGGAGGAGCUUGCUUCUCCGGAUGAGUUGCGAAUGGGUGAGUAACGCGUAGGUAACCUGCCUGGUAGCGGGGGAUAACUAUUGGAAACGAUAGCUAAUACCGCAUAAGAGUAGAUGUUGCAUGACAUUUGCUUAAAAGGUGCAAUUGCACCACUACCAGAUGG